rnacentral:rRNA from 1 species
GACGUAGGGGGCCAGCGUUGUUCGGAAUUACUGGGUGUAAAGGGUUCGCAGGCGGUCGUUCAAGUCGCGUGUGAAAGCCCCCGGCUCAACUGGGGAGGGUCACGCGAUACUGAUCGACUCGAAGGCAGGAGAGGGUAGUGGAAUUCCCGGUGUAGUGGUGAAAUGCGUAGAUAUCGGGAGGAACACCAGUGGCGAAGGCGACUACCUGGCCUGUUCUUGACGCUGAGGCGCGAAAGCUAGGGGAGCAAACGGG